CCUACGGGAGGCAGCAGUGGGGGAUAUUGCACAAUGGGGGGAACCCUGAUGCAGCGACGCCGCGUGGGUGAAGAAGCGCCUCGGCGCGUAAAGCCCUGUCAGCAGGGAAGAAAAUGACGGUACCGGAAGAAGAAGCCCCGGCUAACUACGUGCCAGCAGCCGCGGUAAUCCGUAGGGGGCAAGCGUUCUCCGGAUUUACUGGGUGUAAAGGGGGCGCAGACGGCGAUGCAAGCCAGGAGUGAAAGCCCGGGGCCCAACCCCGGGACUGCUCUUGGAAAUGCGUGGCUGGAGUGCAGGAGGGGCAGGCGGAAUUCCUGGUGUAGCGGUGACAUGCGUAGAUAUCAGGAGGAACACCGGUGGCGAAGGCGGCCUGCUGGACUGCAACUGACGUUGAGGCCCGAAAGCGUGGGGAGCAAACAGGAUUAGAUACCCUUGUAGUC
rnacentral:rRNA from 1 species